rnacentral:rRNA from 1 species
GAAUCCAGGCCCUACGGGGUGCAGCAGGCGCGAAAACUUUACAAUGCUGGAAACAGCGAUAAGGGGACCUCGAGUGCCAGGAUACAAUCCUGGCUGUCGUAAUGCCUAAAAAGCAUUGCAUAGCAAGGGCCGGGCAAGACCGGUGCCAGCCGCCGCGGUAACACCGGCGGCUCGAGUGGUAACCGCUAUUAUUGGGUCUAAAGGGUCUGUAGCCGGCUGACUAAGUCUCUUGGGAAAUCUGACAGCUUAACUGUCAGGCUUUCAGGAGAUACUGAUCGGCUCGAGACCGGGAGAGGUGAGAGGUACCUCAGGGGUAGGGGUGAAAUCUUGUAAUCCUUGAGGGACCACCAGUGGCGAAGGCGUCUCACCAGAACGGAUCUGACGGCAAGGGACGAAAGCUAGGGGCACGAACCGGAUUAGAUACCCGGGUAGUCCUAGCCGUAAACGAUACUCGCUAGGUGUCGGCCACGGUGCGACCGUGGUCGGUGCCGUAGGGAAGCCGUGAAGCGAGCCACCUGGGAAGUACGGCCGCAAGGCUGAAACUUAA